rnacentral:sRNA from 1 species
AUGUACCCACCGUACACUGCGGUUCCUGUGCGCUGUCCGCGCCGGUCCGACAGUGACUCGGGAUGUUUUGUUGUUA